UACGUAGGGGGCAAGCGUUGUCCGGAAUCAUUGGGCGUAAAGAGCGCGUAGGCGGCUCGGUAAGUCCGCUCUGAAAGCCCGGGGCUCAACCCCGGGAGGCGGGCGGAUACUGUCGGGCUAGAGUCCGGAAGAGGCGAGUGGAAUUCCUGGUGUAGCGGUGAAAUGCGCAGAUAUCAGGAGGAACACCAAUGGCGAAGGCAGCUCGCUGGGACGGUACUGACGCUGAGACGCGAAAGCGUGGGGAGCAAACAGG
rnacentral:rRNA from 1 species